rnacentral:rRNA from 1 species
UACGGAGGGAGCUAGCGUUUGUUCGGAAUUACUGGGCGUAAAGCGCACGUAGGCGGCUUUGUAAGUUAGAGGUGAAAGCCCGGGGCUCAACUCCGGAACUGCCUUUAAGACUGCAUCGCUUGAAUCCAGGAGAGGUGAGUGGAAUUCCGAGUGUAGAGGUGAAAUUCGUAGAUAUUCGGAAGAACACCAGUGGCGAAGGCGGCUCACUGGACUGGUAUUGACGCUGAGGUGCGAAAGCGUGGGGAGCAACAGG